CAGUCUAGUGGUGCGGGCGUGUCCAGGACUGUGAAGGCUAGUCUUGGGGGAGUAGUUUGGGAAACCUCCAAUAGAGGAAAGCGGGAUUUGAGAGGGAAGGCAAUGUGUCUUGGGGAUGGGCGGAGAGGGUAACACCCUGUCUGGCCUCCUUCGGAAAUUCUGACCCGAUGAGUGUGUAUCUCCUUUGCUUAGGGAGCGGUAUGCUAUUUCCUCUCUUCUGCCGCCCUCCUCUUCCACCCUUUCCUGUAAAGCUCGGGAGGAAAGGGCGGCAGGGGUUCCUUAGGGGGAAGAGGCCUUCUGGUGUCGGAAAAGUGGAGUGAGGGGUGCGAUGAGUCAGAAAAAGUAGAGAAUCCAGAGAAGUCCCUGGGGUGAGUUCCGUGGACUGAGAGAAGUGGCAGGUCACUGAGACUGCAUCCCAUGCCGGGGAUGAUGCAACCCAAAUCGCUGAAUUAAAAGAGACCUUAAAGGUCACCUAGUCCACCAAAGUCUGGGAGUGGCUUCGUCGCUUCCGGGCUUUCUUCGCGUUCCUAGAUAUAUAAACUGGAAGGUUUUCUAAAAUCACCCCCUUUGGAGCUCUUAGUUCCCUCCUCGUUUUCACUGACUUGUCUCCAACGCUCUCUCUCCUCGUCACUUCUUUCCUGGCUUUGCUGGUUUCCGUUAAGCCUCAGCUGAUAUCCCACUUUCUUCUAGAAGUCUUUCUCACAUCCUUAAUUCCGGUGGCUUCCCUCUCAGCGAUGACUUCCUUUGUACACUGUAUAUUUCUAAAGCCCUUAGCACAGAAUUGACUCUGAACAGGUGCUAAAUAAAUACUUUGUUCCCAUUUCCCUUUCGACUAUACAUAGUUGUUUACUUGUUUUUCCCAUUAAGUGAUGAGCUUCUUGAGACUUUGUUUAUCUUUAUGUCCCUAAGGCCUUAGAACAGUCCUGGCUCUUAGGAGGAGCUUAAAAAUGCUUUUUUGCUCUUUGAUUUGACUCAUUCCUGUUCAGUACUCCUUACUUUUUUUUUUUUUUCUGUAUGUAUCUGCAGGUGAAAGGACUCUCCUCCAGUUACCUAAUAUAUUGCAGAAUGGUAUGGUUGGCAUUCCCAUAGUCUUUAAUCCAUCAAUUUGGCUACUAUCAAUUCUUACUGUGUACAGUAUGAAAAGCAUAUGGAGUGCUAAAGGAGGACAAGUGCCCCCAGUGUGAGGACUUGCUGAAGCUUCUCUGGGCUGCUCAUCCCCCCUUUGGGGUUCACCUGUCAAGAAGCUGUAGCCUGUGCAGCAGCCACUCCCAGGAAAACCACUGAGGCAGAUGGGCUCAAACGUGCUGACGCUGAGGGGAGGGGUGGGGUGUGUGUGAAGACUUUCCCUGGCAGAGUGGGCAGACCCUAACAGUUUGUGGCAAUGGCCAGGAAGGCUGGUGCUGUGGAGCGCUGUGAGCUUGUCAGGCGGGCAGUCGUCCUGACUUUUACCUUGCCGCUGAUGGACUAAGAAAAGACGACUUUGUGCCACUUAGGCUCACUCAAAUCCAAUUCACAAGCAAGUCGAAAUAUCGCCUGUGAUGUCAUUGGCUCUCUUUGAAAACCAGGCUUCCAGGGACAUUAGUGAGAGGAUUGAGAAUUUCUCUUCUGUGAUGCUCCUGGCCAAAGCCCCGCUCAGUGGUAUUUCCUCCACUGAUGACCAGUGGAAAUUAGUGCCCUAGUUCCAGGGUAGCUUUCACAAAGGUGAGAGACCGGAAGUACAAACAUUCCUUCUGUCACAGCCCUUGGUAGGGUACCCUCUCCCCUACAUCACAUGAGUCUUUGGGGAGAGUGGGCUCAAACUGAUCUCAGCAUUCACCCCACCAAGCUCACUUCCACAUGCAGCACCUCUGAGGGAUGAAUGAGCCUGCAUUUCUGCCUGUUGCUGGACCAGAUUCAGUCGAGUCCCCUGCGACUUCCCUGCUCACCAUCUGGCUUCUGGACAAUCCCUAACCCUUAGACGUUUGCAAAGCCAUAGCCAUCUGCCUGUCUCCUUCUCCUAAAAGCAGGAAAUAGCAGCCACGGCAGAGAAAGCAAGGUCAUGUGCUUCAUGCCUUUUGAAAGAAGAAAAGGACUGAGGCUUUUCACCAAUCUCACAGCAAUUUUUCUUCCUUUUGUAUACCAGCCAAGCCAGGAAUCACUUGCUCGGGCUGGCUAGUGCCUUUUGAAUCCAUCUAGAUUCUCGCUCUACUUGCAGUCAGAAAGGCUCCUCUUCCACCAUGUGGCCAGCAGUCUGGAACCCAUUGCAGAAACUCUGCCCACCAAAGUCUGCAUGAGGAAUGCAUCAAGCAAGCUAGCUAUCCAUGUGAAUAUAAGGACUGGGCUCAUUGGCCCCCUUCCCUAUUAGAAUACCAAAGAAUUGUUUUAUAAGUUACAAUUUUGCUCAUGAUAUAGUCCAAUCCUUAUAAGUUGUUGACUCACUGACUUUUCAUCAACUGACCAGGAGUAUCUUUUAUAUGUCAUACUACUAGGCAUAAUAUUAUCUACUAAAAACAUUGUUUUCUCCCUUUUGGAAAAAGUGGAAAAGCAGAAUUGCUUCACAGGCCCAAGGACCCUGUUGCCCUUGGGAGAAAUUCCAUUUUCUGGGGCCCAGCAAAGAGCCAAUGAGGAAAUAAAGGACAGAAGAGUAAAUUAAAGCACAUAAAGUGUCUUUCGUGUAUUCAGCAAUUAUGUCCUCUUUCUGGUUCUCAAAUCUGAUGAUCUUUAAUAUUUCAGUAAAUCAAAUAUCUAUUAAACACCUACUGUGUGCCAAGUACUGAAUAAGGAGCUGAAUAAAGGUGCUACCCUCAAAAGGA